CUUCCGACGUAACUGUCACGUAGUUUCCGGAGUUCUCCUUUUAAUUGUUGGCGCCGUUUGCCCUCCAGCAGAAGUAAAGAUCUCUUGCUGGCCGUAAGUUACGUAGUUGCAUUAAUUGGAAAAAGAAAAAAUGGAUUAUUAUGAAUUCGGACAUGCCCCAAUAUUAAUGUACCAAUUGUAUAGGGAGUUUAAUUGGGCGAUUUAUACACUUGUAGAAGUAAUACUUUAAUGCAGAAAUUCGAAGUAGUUUCGGCGCCGAAUUACUUUCCGAGAGAAGGCGGCAACCAGUUACUAAAAUUUCUAUUCCUUUAGAAGGAAAAAGUGUGUGCAGUAUCACAGUCAAUUAGGGAACAUUUUUAUGCGUGCAGAGCACGAGACACGGACCGCAGAAGCUGACCGAGCAGCAGCGGACGUCAAAGAGAUGCACCACGUGACUUUUCCGGCAUGCUGCAGUGGGAAUUUCUUGUCUUUCUGGAACAGAGUCUCCUCCGCAAGGAAACCUAUGAUAGCUGCCGUGAACGGUUUUGCACCCAGAGGAGGCUACGAACUCGCCAUGAUGUGUGACAGCAUUUCUGCUAGGUAGACGGCACUGUUCGCACAGCCACGCGGUGACCAGGGAGGGGAGCAGAGGCGUAGGUCGUGAUAGUUGGAAAUGAUAUUCAGAAAGUUCACGGUUGUAUAUUAUCUGCCCGCCCGCACCCAGGUUGGGUGUAACACUUCCCUUCGGUUACUGCAGUGCACGGCAAUAUACCACCGGCGCUCCCUUCAGUUUCACUGUAGUGAACAAGAAGGGAGUGAAGGAAAACGUGAGCUGGAUACAAGUUGACCGGCCCGAAGCCCUCAAUGAAGUCAUCGCCGAUAUUGAGAGAGCUUUCUCAGCGGGAGCAGACAUCAAGGAGAUGCAGAACUGGACUUUGCUACAGCAGUACUAUGACUGUUAAAUAUAAAAUUUAAAAGGACAUGUUUUUUGUCUCAUUGUAUUUCUGGGUCUCAAGUUUAAAGUUAUGAUGAUUUUGUUGUUUAAAUUUGAAAAUCCAUAUUAAAAUAAAUAACAUGCAUUUUCCAGUCGAA